CUUUGGUCAUGUACUUCACUCACCUCUUCUCUUUUUCACCUUCACUUCUCCCUUCUCUUCCCCCUCCCUCUUUCCUGGCUGCAUCCUUCUUUCUUAAGGCUUUACCCCAUAAAGACAAAGAAACUGGCUGAGGAGACAAAAGAAAGAAAGUAGCAGAAGCUGGUAAGGAAACAGGUGAGUGACAUCUGACUUAGCUGAUUAAGAGAGCUUGAUCCUUUUGGAGGGCGUGGCAGGUGCUUGCUCUGUCGCCCAGGCUGGAGUGCAGUGGUACGAUCAUAGCUCCCUGUAUCCUCGAGCUGCUGAGCUCAAGGGAUCCUCCAGCCUCAGCCUCCAGAGUAGCUGGGACUACAUGUUAAUUUUUUUUUUUUUAAUGUUUUGCUUUUUUAGAGACAGGGUCUCACUUGUGUUGCCAAGAGAGCUUGAGCAUCAACUGGCAGUGAGGACAGCCGGAAAGCAACCGACUUACCCCUCUCACCAGACCUUCCAACUGUCUGCCACACUGGCAUUGCCGUGUAUCCCUGCAUCUUGUUGAUCCCAUUGUGGCAUUGUGGUCAGAGAAUAUACAACUCGCUGAAGAAUCCAUUGUUUAUGGACAUUCCUGGGAUUGUAUUCAUUUAAAUAUCUUUAUGUACAUUGUAGUGGAAUAUAAUACAAAAAUGGAGUUGCAUGAAAAAUGAAGGUACCGCUCAGUAAAUGGUUCCACAGGGACAUCUGAUCCCCUACGAUCUGGGUUAAGAAAUGGUGUACUGUAUUGCUGGCAGCUCAAAAGCACUCUCAUGCCAGUCACUCUUGUCUUCCACCUCGGCCAAUCUAACCACUCUUGUGACUUUUAACACUUGAAGAUAAUCCCGCCUGUUUGUGAACGCAUUACACGUACGUAGAAUCAGUACAGUACAUAUUUUACAGUACAUAUUUUAUAAUCUGGGUUUCUCUUGGUUUUUCAGUAAGGUUUUUCUCCUUACUAUUGACUUCUGUCGUGCUGUGUAGCUGAAUUUCGUUUCUUUGCCUUCCUGCGCAGUAUUUUGAAUUGUAUGACAAUGCCACAAUUUAUUCGUGCC
rnacentral:lncRNA from 1 species